rnacentral:rRNA from 1 species
GAUGAACGCGGGCGGCGUGCUUAACACAUGCAAGUCGAACGAUGAAGCCCAGCUUGCUGGGUGGAUUAGUGGCGAACGGGUGAGUAACACGUGAGUAACCUGCCCUUAACUCUGGGAUAAGCCUGGGAAACUAGGUCUAAUACCGGAUAGGAGCGCCUACCGCAUGGUGGGUGUUGGAAAGAUUUAUCGGUUUUGGAUGGACUCGCGGCCUAUCAGCUUGUUGGUGAGGUAAUGGCUCACCAAGGCGACGACGGGUAGCCGGCCUGAGAGGGUGACCGGCCACACUGGGACUGAGACACGGCCCAGACUCCUACGGGAGGCAGCAGUGGGGAAUAUUGCGCAAUGGGCGCAAGCCUGAUGCAGGGACGCCGCGUGAGGGAUGACGGCCUUCGGGUUGUAAACCUCUUUCAGUAGGGAAGAAGCGAAAGUGACGGUACCUGCAGAAGAAGCACCGGCUAACUACGUGCCAGCAGCCGCGGUAAUACGUAGGGUGCGAGCGUUAUCCGGAAUUAUUGGGCGUAAAGAGCUGGUAGGCGGUUUGUCGCCUCAGUCGUGAAAGUCCGGGGCUUAACCCAGGAUGUGCGGUGGGUACGGGCAGACUAGAGUUCAGUAGGGGAGACUGGAAUUCCUGGUGUAGCGGUGGAAUGCGCAGAUAUCAGGAGGAACACCGAUGGCGAAGGCAGGUCUCUGGGCUGUAACUGACGCCGAGGAGCGAAAGCAUGGGGAGCGAUCAGG